rnacentral:rRNA from 1 species
ACACGGCCCCGGCCUGCGAGACUAGGGACCAUACCUAGGGACCGGCUGAAUUUAAAUGGGCGGCUUAGACUAUGUGGCAGCCCCCGUCGGGGCAGAUGAAAC